GUUGAACGCUGGCGGCAGGCCUAACACAUGCAAGUCGGACGGUAACAGGAAGCAGCUUGCUGCUUUGCUGACGAGUGGCGGACGGGUGAGUAAUGUCUGGGAAACUGCCUGAUGGAGGGGGAUAACUACUGGAAACGGUAGCUAAUACCGCAUAACGUCGCAAGACCAAAGAGGGGGACCUUAGGGCCUCUUGCCAUCAGAUGUGCCCAGAUGGGAUUAGCUUGUUGGUGGGGUAACGGCUCACCAAGGCGACGAUCCCUAGCUGGUCUGAGAGGAUGACCAGCCACACUGGAACUGAGACACGGUCCAGACUCCUACGGGAGGCAGCAGUGGGGAAUAUUGCACAAUGGGCGCAAGCCUGAUGCAGCCAUGCCGCGUGUAUGAAGAAGGCCUUCGGGUUGUGAAGUACUUUCAGCGGGGAGGAAGGGGAGAAGGUUAAUAACCUUUUUCAUUGACGUUACCCGCAGAAGAAGCACCGGCUAACUCCGUGCCAGCCGCCGCCGUAA
rnacentral:rRNA from 1 species